GAUGAACGCUAGCUACAGGCUUAACACAUGCAAGUCGAGGGGAAACGACAUCGAAAGCUUGCUUUUGAUGGGCGUCGACCGGCGCACGGGUGAGUAACGCGUAUCCAACCUGCCCAUCACUUGGGAAUAACCUUGCGAAAGUAAGACUAAUACCCAAUGACAUCCCACGAAGACAUCUGAAUGGGAUUAAAGAUUUAUCGGUGAUGGAUGGGGAUGCGUCUGAUUAGCUUGUUGGCGGGGUAACGGCCCACCAAGGCAACGAUCAGUAGGGGUUCUGAGAGGAAGGUCCCCCACAUUGGAACUGAGACACGGUCCAAACUCCUACGGGAGGCAGCAGUGAGGAAUAUUGAUCAAUGGGCGAGAGCCUGAACCAGCCAAGUAGCGUGCAGGAUGACGGCCCCAUGGGUUGUAAACUGCUUUUAUAAGGGAAUAAAGUGGGUCUCGUGAGACUUUUUGCAUGUACCUUAUGAAUAAGGACCGGCUAAUUCCGUG
rnacentral:rRNA from 1 species